CGCACAAGCGCACACACGCACACACACAGGCAGAGAGAGAAAGAGAGAGUUAGUUACUGGAUACUAUCCUAAGUGUUCUUACCUGGUUGUGGCUUCCUGCCUCCCACACAGGCAUCUUCCUCAGCUGCAUCCAAGUCCUCUCUGCCUGGGGAGCUUUCCUCAGUGAGCUUCUGCAGACCUUCCUUGGUUGCUGCUUCACAGACUGUGGCUGUGUUUUAAGGACUGCAGUUCGCUUGGUCCUUGGAAGGGACUAUUAGACUUGUUCUGGGCGUGGUGAUUCUAUUGUUUUUUUUACCUUUGAGACAAAGGACAAAGGUUACUUGUUGCAGUUGGAAAUAACAAUGGCUCCCUCGGCCCCAGGUGUCUGUGACUGAGAUGAGUUUAUCACCAGGACCAGCUGCUAAGGUUAACUGUCCAACGCUCUGUA
rnacentral:lncRNA from 1 species